UACGUAGGUGGCAAGCGUUGUCCGGAUUUACUGGGUGUAAAGGGCGUGUAGCCGGGCUGACAAGUCAGAUGUGAAAUCCGGGGGCUCAACCCCCGAACCGCAUUUGAAACUGUUGGUCUUGAGUAUCGGAGAGGCAGGCGGAAUUCCUAGUGUAGCGGUGAAAUGCGUAGAUAUUAGGAGGAACACCAGUGGCGAAGGCGGCCUGCUGGACGACAACUGACGGUGAGGCGCGAAAGCGUGGGGAGCAAACAGG
rnacentral:rRNA from 1 species